rnacentral:rRNA from 1 species
CAACGAAUCUUCCCCAAUGCCGGAAACGGUGAGGGAGCGACGCCGCGUGAAGGACGAAGUUCUUCGGAAUGUAAACUUAUGUAAGGAUCAUGAAAGUCUGAGGGCUAAUACCCCAAAGGAUUGAUCUGGUCCCUAAAAGGGGCGGCUAACUCUGUGCCAGCAGCCGCGGUAAUACAGAGGCCCCAAGCGUUACUGAGAAUCACUGGGUUUAAAGGGUGCGUAGGUGGUCCGUUAAGUCCGUUGUGAAAUCCCUGGGCUCAACCCAGGAAAUGCUUCGGAUACUGGCGGACUUGAGGCUAGUAGGGGUCACUGGAACUGACGGUGGAGCGGUGAAAUGCGUAGAUAUCGUCAGGAACGCCGAUGGUGAAGACAGGUGACUGGGCUAGAUCUGACACUGAGGCACGAAAGCGUGGGGAGCGAACGGGAUUAGAUACCCCCGUAGUCC